rnacentral:lncRNA from 1 species
AAAAAAGACAUGAAGAUGACAAACCAAACACCUCCCACCUCUGCAAAGGUGAGCCGCUCACCGACUGCAUAUGUAUUUAUCCCUGCCCUCCUGAGUGCCAGACACUGCUGCGAAUACAAUAGUGAACAGACCCACUUGCUUCCUUCCAGUGGAAAAGGAAGGAAAAAAAAAAAAAAGUGUCUGGUCUCGUAUCUAAUUGGAUGCCCAUAGCUUUAACAGACUUAGUAGUGGCCUUAACUCCAGCAGAUAAACUGGCCUCGUUCCAUCAAAAUGACUAAUGGGAGAAAAACAAGAGGGUGAGGAGACUGGAAGAAAUAUAUGACCUUGUGAGGAGCCAAGCUGAGAAACUUCCUCAGGGCUGGAUUAUGAUAUUCCUAAAGCUCUGGGAGAGGAAGUGGGGGCCACCAAAAGAAAGACGGAAAUUACACGUGCCAGACACACAUGUGCCCUGUCUCACAUCCCCUCCGUCCACCUCCAAUGUCCAGUGCCUGCUAAAGCAACCAGGCAGUGCCCAGACGUGACCCCAGGCCAUGGCUAUACAGUUCACCCUCCUGCCUUCUGACCUGGGGCUGCUCUCUGCAAGCCAAUGUGGAAAAUCAUUUGGGAUGGACUUUCAAGAACAAGUCCAAGAACAAACCUGGAAGUAAAAGUGAGAGUUAACCCCACAGAAUGAUCAAUGGAAGUGAGAAACCAGUGGAUACUAACGCCAUCUUCAGUACACAGGGUGGAGAGUUCCGAAACACAGUCCAUAUGGUUCCUAUAAGGGUGCUCAGUGGGAUUCUGCUUUAAUAGCCCCCAACAGAGCUAGCACAACAGGUUUGGGCUUUCUAGGUCUCUUCCCCUUUUUCACACUUCUGGAUCUCCCUACCCUCCACUUGCCUGUGAUCACGUUCCUACGCUCAGCCCUUCACCACCUCCAGGCUCCACUUUCUGGGGGAACCUACCUAAAACAUGGGAACACGUUGUUUCUCUGGAUGUAGAACAGUAACCAAAAUGGUACGCUUGCUUUCUGUCAUCCCGUAUCUGUUGGUCCUCUUCUUUUCCUUCCCAUCCAGAUUUGCUCUCUAUAGGCUAAAGUUCCAAUUGGCAUGAUGUCAAGUUUCAUUGCCUCCUCCAAUCUUUCAAGAACU